GAUGAACGCUAGCGGCAGGCCUAACACAUGCAAGUCGAGGGGUAACAUAGAGAAGCUUGCUUUUCUGAUGACGACCGGCGCACGGGUGCGUAACGCGUAUGCAACCUACCUCUUACUGGAGGAUAGCCCGAAGAAAUUCGGAUUAAGACUCCAUAGUAUUUCGAUUCCGCAUGGUUUGAAAUUAAAGGUUACGGUAAGAGAUGGGCAUGCGUCCUAUUAGCUAGAUGGUAAGGUAACGGCUUACCAUGGCAACGAUAGGUAGGGGGCCUGAGAGGGUGACCCCCCACACUGGUACUGAAACACGGACCAG
rnacentral:rRNA from 1 species